rnacentral:rRNA from 1 species
GAAGGUGGCAAGCGUUAUUCGGAUUUACUGGGCGUACAGGGAGCGUAGGCGGUUUGGUAAGCCCUCUGUGAAAUCUCCAGGCUUAACCUGGAAAAGUCGGAGGGGACUGCUGGGCUAGAGGACGGGAGAGGAGCGCGGAAUUCCCGGUGUAGCGGUGAAAUGCGUAGAGAUCGGGAGGAAGGCCGGCGGCGAAGGCGGCGCUCUGGAACGUUUCUGACGCUGAGGCUCGAAAGCGUGGGGAGCAAACAGGAUUAGAUACCCUGGUAGUCCACGCCUUAAACUAUGAAUACUAAGUGUCGGCAGUUUACUGCCGGUGCCGCAGCUAACGCAUUAAGUAUUCCGCCUGGGAAGUACGGCCGCAAGGUUG